AACUGUAACGGCGGAAGGAAUCCUGGGGGGCUGCCGAGUCGCGUUCGCGCGUCACUCUUCUCCCUCGUCCUCUCCCCGAGGCUCCCAAAUCAUAGUCAACCGUUUACUGAAGUUCAGCCGUAAUGUGAAGGCACCAGGGAGCCCUGCAACAGCCAUGUGACCAGGAGCCUUGAGGCCUCGGUAGUAACCCCAGGUCUGGACGAAGCAGCCAGGGGCAUGUGGGCGACUUCUGUCAGUCAUCUGAGCAAGACUUCUGACCCUGAACCCUACACAGAGAAGGCGGACUCCCAAAGCAAAGCAAAACAUCUCAGCACAAAAAGCACAUGUCACCUGACGUCACGAACUGCAUUCCGUGCAAAUGUCUGUGUAACAGACAGUUGCUUUGCAGGUAAACCAGGAAACGGAGGCGCGGCUGAGGGACGGGCAGGCGGCCGACUUCUGUCCUUGGAGCCGCGACACGGACCCCAGGCUGUCCCGAUGGGGCGAAGCCCGACUGAGCAGGUUUGCAAAGCACUCGGAGUUAUCACAGAAGGAGGAAGUGAUGCUUAAGAAGUAAGAGUUGUGGAUCUGAUGUUAAUGUGACUGGAGUGAA